CACACACACACACAGUCAACAUAUCUAUGUCUGUAUGUAUCUAGUUGGGUUUCCUGAAUCAUAGGUGGAGCUUAAUUAAUGCGGCAUGGUUUGUCAUUUUUAUCUGUUUGGAAAGCGUUGUCGAUAUAUAAUAUAUUAAUAUUGUGUAUACACACACACACACACUCUAUAUAUAUAUAUAUGUAUACAGCUGCUAUGUCUCAGUGAUAUUUAUGUAGUUAGCAGAGGAACAGACGAGAAGGACGAUAGCAAUCUUUCUAGCUUCCUAGAGAGGUGAGACCCACUGGCCAAAACUACAAAGAAAUUUCCUACUCCUACCUAAUUCUUUGUUACUGGUCAAAGUUUUCAUGCCACUUGUGCUAAGGUGAAUCACCAACAUGGACCACAAGAACUAUAUAAAAGAAAAUGAUAAAAAAAAAUUAACAAAAAAAAAUUGUUUUAUGAACAAAAUAUUUGCACGCAAAUUAUAAUUUUUCUAUGAAAAAUAUUUUCGAACCCUCCCUCUUACGGAACAUAAUUUUGGUAUGUACAAAACUUUAAAAAUGUCUACAUGAGGUUGCAGAACUCCAUUUAUAAACCCCAUCACUUUUUUUGGGUAGCAGCAACAGUACUCUCUCACACUCUCACUUUUUUUGGGUAGCAGCAACAGUACUCUCUCACACUCUCACUUUUUUUGGGUAGCAGCAACAGUGUCCCUCUCUUUCUUGUUGGGGUAAACCAUUCUUUUAAAAAUUGGACUAAACCGACUAGUCGAAUCGAUUUAAUCGGAACCAAUGGCUUAUCCUAUCCAGUUUAACAUAAAAAUUCAAAUCUUCUUCAACUCGGUCAAAACCGAUGAAAUCGGUGAACCGAGAAUUGGGUUGAUCCUGAUUUUUUUCACCUUCUCACUUAUUUUUAAAUUUUUAAUUCUUAACUAAUUCUUUAAUAACAUAUAUAAUAAUUAUAUAUAAAAUAUUAGUUGUAUAUUAGUUAAUAAUAGCAUUUCUCAUAAUAAUAUAUAAUAUUAGUAUUUUAAAUAUAUAUUAAAAUAUAUAUUUAAUAUAUAUAUUAUUUAAUUAUAAAAUAUAUAUAUGAUAUCAUCCGUUCGGACCAUUCCGAUUUAAUCGGUCGGACCAACUGACCUAUGACCCAACCCAAUUAAUAGACCGAUUCACUCUCCGGUCUGAUUUUUAAAACAUUAGGUUAAACCCAAGACUCUUUUAAGCAACAAAAAGGGUUAAAGCAACAAGAAGAUUUGUGAAAUUAAGAGAAAUUAUUAUUAUUUUUAGAAUUUUAGAGCCACCGCAUGCUUUUAGUCUAAAUUACAGGAACUGCUUAUUUGUCCAAUAAACUUAUCCACGAAUAACUCAAAAAACAAUGAUUCUGAGUUUUCACCAUUGAAAAAAUCAAACCAAACGUAUUUUAAAAUUAUUUGAGGUUUACUAGACUUUGAAUCAGUGUUGCAAAACCAGACUGAUUUGAGUUCAAAGUUGUAUAAUCUGUAAGGACUCGUUAUUAGCUUCUUUGAACAAUCAUGGGGACCAUACUUGACCCAAAAUGUUAGCGCUUCUAUGGGGGUAAUAACAUUCAAAAGUGCCGGCUAGCUAUGCAGCAGCCACGCCAUAUACCUUGGAAAAAGCUCUUCUUCUAGGAAGAGCUUCCUUUCCUGGAAAAUACCAGUGGAUUAUUUAUGGCUUAAAUUACUCGGUUCAGAAUUUAUCUAUCUAGUCAGUAUCAAUGACUACUGCCCAUCUUCUUCCUCAACUCCUCCAGCCAUGUCCUGCUCUUGCUCGGACUAGUGGCAGGGUACAAGUGGGAGAAUCUAUUACAGCUAAUGGCAAGCCCCCCACGGCUGUCAUCUUCCAAUGAUUUUGCAUUUGGGUUUCAUCAGUUCCAGGACAAGGACCUCUUCCUGCUCUCCAUUUGGUACCACAAAAUGCCCCGACAAAACUAAGUCAGGCACGCAAUCAAGGCGAGACCCUGUGGAGUUCUGGGUCCAUUGGGGAUGAAGUUGCUUUCGGCCUCAUGAACGACGCAGGGAACUUUGUGCUUUUGGGUAGACGCAAUUCAAUUCGUUGCCCAUUUGGGGAGAGCUGAGCUUCGGAUACCCAAUUGACACCCUGUUGCCUACCCAGUUCAUGGAGUCUGGAGGAGAGCUUUUUUCUCCAGGGGAAAGUUCAAGCUCCAGAUGGAGGACGAUGGCGAUCUAGUGCUCGAAUCUAUACUAUAGAUGUGCUUAAGAGUCUAUCUUACUAUACAUACUGCGCCAGCGGCCCUUCUGAUGCGGCUGAUCAAUCGAAUUCUGGGUACCAACUAAUCUAUGACCAAACAGGAUGAUAUAUGUACGUGUUGGGAAGGAACAAAUAUAUGAAAGACGAGAUGACAUACCUCCGAUCAGCGACUAUUAUCAUAGGGCAACAAUUGAUUUUGAUGGAGUUUUUACUCGGUCCUAUCAUCCGAAGGAUUCCUCUGCCAAUCCUAACUUGACGGCCGGCGCAACAAUUCCGGAUAACAUUUGUGUUGAUACGAAUGGACUCAAAGCCAAAGGAAGUGGGGCUUGUGGAUAUAUACCCGUAUCUGUAGCGUUGAUGCCUAUCAUAGGCCAGUUUGCGAAUGCCCAAGCGGAUUCUCAUUGCUUGAUCCAAAUGAUAAGUAUGGUGACGGCAAACCGAGUUCCAUACCCAACUGUGGAGAAGAUGGCCUCAGUUCUGGAGAGGAUCUCUAUGACUACCAGAAGCUGGUAGACACUGACUGGCCACAGUCCGACUACGAGCAGCCCAGCAUUUCAAGCGCAGAGGAGUGCAAGAAAUCUUGCCGGCAGGAUUGCUUCUGCGUUGUCGUCAUUUUGACAAAUGGCAACUGCAUAGGAAGAGGAUGCCACUUUCAAAUGGGCAAAAGAACCCUUAAGUUAAAACUAUAGUUUUCAUUACGUUCAGGAAAAGUGAUGUUCCUACACUACCAACUCCUAAUCCUCCACCAGAAAUAAGGAAGAAAGGCAUGACUUUCGGUCUGGUAGCAUCAGUGCUCUUGGGUAGCUCUGUUCGUCAAUUUUGUAUUGAUUUAUGCCUUGUGCUUAGGCUUUUUCCUCAUUUACCAUAAGAAAAUCAUAAGAUUUUACAAUGGUGGCAACUCUACGUAAACAAAUCUUCGUUGCUUUACAUACAAAGAGCUCGCAGGAGCCACUGAUGGUUUCAAGGAAGAAGUGGGGAGGGGCUCUUUUGGUAUCGUUUACAGAGGGGCAAUACAAAUGGGUUCUGGAAAUGCUAUAGCAGUCAAGAAGCUGGUCCAAGCCAAAGAGCAGGAUUCAGAACUGAAGUAAAUGUGAUCGGCUAGACUCUUCACAGGAACCUGGUCCGAUUGCUCGGGUUCUGUGAUGGAGGAGAGGACCGGAUGCUCAUAUAUGAGUACUUGAGCAAUGGCAACCUUGCGAGCUUCCUCGUCGGAGACAUGAAGCUGAGCUGGACCCAGAGGAGCCAGAUUGCAUUGGGGAUUGCAAGAGGGCUCCUCUACCUCCAUGAAGAGUGCAGCACUCAUAUUAUCCACUGUGAUAUAAAGCCGCUUAAAUGAGAUAUAGAUACAAGCAUCAUUUGAAAAUUUAUCAAAACAAGCAUAUAAAUGGGGUUAAUUAAGUCAUCAUUUACAUCCCGAUGAUUACUACAGCGCCCAGAUUUCUUUGGGUUGGAAAAACUUUUAAUGAUCGGCCGGAGUCGCGCCAAUACCGGUGUUGACAGGCACAAAAGGCUUUUAUGUAGCACCAGAGUGGUUCAGAAGCAAGCCAAUCACCAAAAAGAUUGUUGGUUGUAGGAGUGUGGGGGAUCUGGAGGCUGGCGAAGAAAAAGCAAUUUGAAUCGAUCGACUGGGCUUCUGACUGCAUCCUGGAGGGAUUGGUUGAAGAUGAUUUGGAGGCCUUAAACGACUAGGAGAGAGUGGAGAGAUAUCUGAUUAAUAGCAUUUGGUGCAUUCAGGAAGAUCAAUUGCAGAGUCCAAGGGUGAGGAAAUCACUCAGAUGAUAGGAGUUUUCCAAGUUAGUGUGGCUCCCCCUUUCCAAGUUACUUCUGUUAGUUGAGGGAGCCCAUGUUUUGUGUGCUAGGUUCAUGUCAAGUAUUUCGAGCAAGUCUAAGAUACUAUUAGAAGAUUGAUUUUUUACUUCAACUUUUCAAGAUUGUUAAAAGAUUUUGUAGGAGAGAUUUUAGUAAGUGGCUCCUAAAUUCUACA